rnacentral:rRNA from 1 species
ACUCAAUAGAUAUCCGGGUAGUCCACGCCGUAAACGUUGGGCGCUAGGUGUGGGUUCCCUUCCACGGGAUCCGUGCCGCAGCUAAACGCAUUAAGCGCCCCGCCUGGGGAGUACGGCCGCAAGGCUAAAGCUCAAAGGAAUUGACGGGGGCCCGCACAAGCGGCGGAGCAUGUGGCUUAAUUCGAGGCAACGCGAAGAACCUUACCUGGGUUUUGACAUGCAGGGAAAUCUCCCAGAGAUGGGAGGUCCGCAAGGGCCUUGCACAGGUGGUGCAUGGCUGUCGUCAGCUCGUGUCGUGAGAU